GGGGUUGUUGAAUUGCAGACUAUUGCAAUCGAGUUCAGAAAACGCUAAGCUUGUUUCGUGCUUGAUUUUCCGAGGUUUUUUGACGGUACAAGUGUGAAGACCCCAGUAUCCCUGAUAAGGCUGAGGUCCCAAGUUCGAGUCUUGGUGCGCCCA
rnacentral:tRNA from 1 species